AUAGUUUGAUGCUGGCUCAGAUUGAACGCUGGCGGCAGGCUUAAGACAUGCAAGUCGAGCGGUAACAGGUCGCUGUGAUCUCUUCGGAGUGAACUUGACGCUGACGAGCGGCGGACGGGUGAGUAACGCGUAGGAAUCUGCCCAAUAGUGGGGGAUAGCCCGGGGAAACUCGGAUUAAUACCGCAUACGCCCUACGGGGGAAAGCAGGGGAUCUUCGGACCUUGUGCUAUUGGAUGAGCCUGCGUUGGAUUAGCUAGGUGGUGGGGUAAGGGCCCACCAAGGCGACGAUCCAUAGCUGGUCUGAGAGGAUGAUCAGCCACACUGGAACUGAGACACGGUCCAGACUCCUACGGGAGGCAGCAGUCGGGAAUAUUGGACAAUGGGGGCAACCCUGAUCCAGCCAUGCCGCGUGUGUGAAGAAGGCCUUCGGGUUGUAAAGCACUUUCAGUAGGGAGGAAGGUCGUAAGGCUAAUACCCUUGCGGAUUGACGUUACCUACAGAAGCAGCACCGGCUAACUCCGUGCCAGCGGCCGCGGUAAUACGGAGGGUGCAAGCGUUAAUCGGAAUUACUGGGCGUAAAGCGCGCGUAGGCGGUUUGGUCAGUUGGAUGUGAAAGCCCAGGGCUUAACCUUGGAAUUGCAUUCAAUACUGCCAGACUAGAGUACGGUAGAGGGGGGUAGAAUUCCACGUGUAGCGGUGAAAUGCGUAGAGAUGUGGAGGAAUACCAGUGGCGAAGGCGGCCCCCUGGAUCGAUACUGACGCUGAGGUGCGAAAGCGUGGGGAGCAAAC
rnacentral:rRNA from 1 species